rnacentral:rRNA from 1 species
GUAGAAGCCUACCAAGGCAAUGAUGCGUAGCCGAGUUGAGAGACUGGCCGGCCACAUUGGGACUGAGACACUGCCCAAACUCCUACGGGAGGCUGCAGUAGGGAAUUUUCCGCAAUGCACGAAAGUGUGACGGAGCGACGCCGCGUGUGUGAUGAAGGCUUUCGGGUCGUAAAGCACUGUUGUAAGGGAAGAAUAACUGAAUUCAGAGAAAGUUUUCAGCUUGACGGUACCUUACCAGAAAGGGAUGGCUAAAUACGUGCCAGCAGCCGCGGUAAUACGUAUGUCCCGAGCGUUAUCCGGAUUUAUUGGGCGUAAAGCGAGCGCAGACGGUUUAUUAAGUCUGAUGUGAAAUCCCGAGGCCCAACCUCGGAACUGCAUUGGAAACUGAUUUACUUGAGUGCGAUAGAGGCAAGUGGAACUCCAUGUGUAGCGGUGAAAUGCGUAGAUAUGUGGAAGAACACCAGUGGCGAAAGCGGCUUGCUAGAUCGUAACUGACGUUGAGGCUCGAAAGUAUGGGUAGCAAACGGGAUUAGAUACCCCGGUAGUCCAUACCGUAAACGAUGGGUGCUAGUUGUUAAGAGGUUUCCGCCUCCUAGUGACGUAGCAAACGCAUUAAGCACCCCGCCUGAGGAGUACGGCCGCAAGGCUAAAACUUAAAGGAAUUGACGGGGACCCGCACAAGCGGUGGAGCAUGUGGUUUAAUUCGAAGAUACGCGAAAAACCUUACCAGGUCUUGACAUACMAAUGAUCGCUUUUGUAAUGAAAGCUUUUCUUCGGAACAUUGGAUACAGGUGGUGCAUGGUCGUCGUCAGCUCGUGUCGUGAGAUGUUGGGUUAAGUCCCGCAACGAGCGCAACCCUUGUUAUUAGUUGCCAGCAUUUAGUUGGGCACUCUAAUGAGACUGCCGGUGAU